GACGAACGCUGGCGGCGUGCUUAACACAUGCAAGUCGAACGGAAAGGCCCUGCUUUUGUGGGGUGCUCGAGUGGCGAACGGGUGAGUAACACGUGAGUAACCUGCCCUUGACUUUGGGAUAACUUCAGGAAACUGGGGCUAAUACCGGAUAGGAGCUCCUGCUGCAUGGUGGGGGUUGGAAAGUUUCGGCGGUUGGGGAUGGACUGGCGGCUUAUCAGCUUGUUGGUGGGGUAGUGGCUUACCAAGGCUUUGACGGGUAGCCGGCCUGAGAGGGUGGCCGGCGACAUUGGGACUGCGAUAGGGCCCAGACUCCUACGGGAGGCAGCAGUGGGGAAUAUUACACAAUGGGGGGACGCGUGAGGCAGCAGCGCUGGGUGCGGGAUGAGGGCCUUCGGGUUGUAAACCGCUUUCGCCUGUGACGAAGAGUGAGUGACGGUAAUGGGUAAAGAAGCACCGGCUAACUACGUG
rnacentral:rRNA from 1 species